CAGUAGCCACGGUAAUACGAAGGUCCCGAGCGUUGUUCGGAAUCACUGGGCGUAAAGGGAGCGUAGGCGGCGUGGUAAGUCAGAUGUGAAAUCCCGGGGCUCAACCCCGGAACUGCAUCCGAUACUGCCAUGCUAGAGGAUUGGAGAGGUAGCUGGAAUUCUUGGUGUAGCAGUGAAAUGCGUGGAGAUCAAGAGGAACACUCGUGGCGAAAGCGAGCUACUGGACAAUAACUGACGCUGAGGCUCGAAGGCCAGGGUAGCGAAAGGGAUUAGAUACCCGCGUAGUCCCUGUCUCUUAUAU
rnacentral:rRNA from 1 species